AAGGGUUUGAUCCUGGCUCAGAAUGAACGUUGGCGGCGUGGAUUAGGCAUGCAAGUCGAGGGAGAACCCGCAAGGGGGACACCGGCGAACGGGGUAGGAUCACGUAGGUGACGUACCCCCAGGGCGAGGAUAGCCACGGGAAACUGUGGGUAAUACUCGAUAAUCUUCUCGGCUAUGACGGCUGGGAAGCAAUGGGUGAGAUUCCACCUGGGGAGCGGCUUACGCAGUAUCAGCUAGUUGGUGAGGUAACGGCUCACCAAGGCUAUGACGCUUAGGGGGUGUGAGAGCAUGGCCCCCACCACUGGCACUGAGACACUGGCCAGACACCUACGGGUGGCUGCAGUCGAGAAUCUUCGGCAAUGGACGAAAGUCUGACCGAGCGACGCCGCGUGCGGGAUGAAGGCCCUCGGGUUGUAAACCGCUGUCAGAGGGGAUGAAGUGUACGAGAGCUAUCUCUUGUAUUUGACAGAGCCUCAGAGGAAGCACGGGCUAAGUUCGUGCCAGCAGCC
rnacentral:rRNA from 1 species